UAUCUGGUUUAUCCUGCCAGUAGUCCACGCUUGUCUAAAAGAUUAAGCCAUGCAAGUCUAAGUAUAAGCAAUCUAUACUGCGAAACUGCGAACGGCUCAUUAAAUCAGUUGGAAUCUACUCGAUGGUCUUCUCUACAUGGAUACCUGUGGAAAAUCUAGAGCUAAUACAUGCACAAAAGCCCCGUCAGGGGUGUAUUUAUUAGAUAAAAGCCAGCGCCUUCGGGCCACGGUGAAUCAUAAUAACUGUUCGAAUCGCAUGGCCUUGCGCCGGCGAUGCUUCGAUCGACCAUCUGCCCUAUCAACUUUCGAUGGUAGGAUAGGGGCCUACCAUGGUGACGACGGGUAACGGGGAAUAAGGGUUCGAUUCCGGAGAGAGAGCCUUAGAAACGGCUCUCAGGUUUAAGGACUGCAGCAGGCGCGCAAAUUACCCAAUCCCGAUUCGGGGAGGUAGUGACAAGAAAUAACAAUGCAGGGCCCCUUGUGGGUCUUGCAAUUGGAAUGAGAGCAACGUAAAUCCAUCAUCGAGGAUCCACUAGAGGGCAAGUCUGGUGCCAGCAGCCGGCGGUAAUUCCAGCUCUAGUAGCGUGCAUUAAAAUUGCUGCCGUUAAAACGCUCGUAGUCGCACUACAGCUGCCAAGACGGCCGGUCCACUCUCUGAGUGCCGUACUGGACCCGUCUGACGCUUUAAUCCUGGUUGCCGUCCGUGUCGUUUAUUCGGCGCGGGCGGUUGACCAGGGACCCUACCUUGAAAAAAUCAGAGUGUUCAAAGCAGGCUUAUUCGCCCGAAUACAUUAGCAUGGAAUAAUCGAAUAGGACGCGCGGUCCUGUUUGUGUUGGCUUCAAGACCGCCGUAAUGAUGAAUAGGGGCAGUUGGUGGCUUUUGUAUUCGAACGUCAGAGGUGAAAUUCUUGGAUUGUUCGAAGACAAACUACUGCGAAAGCAUUAGCCAAGGAUGCUUUCAUUGAUCAAGAACGAAGGUGUGGGAUCGAAAACGAUUAUUUAGUCGUAUAGAAGCUUCGGCUUAGUCUGCGCUACGGCGUGGGCAAUGCUGUCAAUCUGCAGGGAUACCCGUCGUGGUAGCGUCCGAUCACCGGGCGCGGCUAAAGGGCGAUCUGCAGCACUCGUUUCUUAAUCGAGUGUCCAACGACUGGAUGACAGCGGAUAACAGAGUAUAAGGAACAGUCUGCUCUGUGCUGCGAAAGUAGACGGGUGAAAGCGUAGAUACCGUUGUAGUCCACACAGUAAACGAUGCCGACUGGGGAUCGGACGAGGCUUAUUUUAUGACUCGUUCGGCACCCAAAGAGAAAUCUUGAGUUUAGGUUAAUCACCCUCGAGCCUAAUAGAGCAAAAGCUAGUCUUUCCGAGACGACACUGCAAUACUGCGAGGAAAUCCGAAUAGCGACGCAGCUUACGAGCUUUGUAGCCGGACAAUUCGCAUCUCUGCUUAAUGCGGGGUUCAUCGACUAGAUGGCAGUGGGCGGCGCGAGCCGUUUGAGGUAUAGUCAGCGACUAGAACAGAUUCUAGUCUAAGCGUCGGGGGGGAGUAUGGUCAAGAUUCGGUUUGUUAAUGGGCAUUAUCUUUCCGAAAGUAUCGCCUCAUUCUAGACCUGCGGCCAUACAAAGCGGCUAAUGACCGCUAGUCGCAUUUCGCGGCUACACCAUCGUAUUGCGGCGACCCUCAUUAGAUCAAGGUCUUUCAGGCCUCUGAUUCGAGCAAGCGCGCAGCCGGGCAAUGCCCGAGUUCAGAGACUAAGGCGACGGUGGCUCAAUAGAGCUAAGAUAUAAGUCCGAUCUGGCGGGAGACCGCUCAGAGUUAAUCGCGCAAGGCUG
rnacentral:rRNA from 2 species